rnacentral:rRNA from 1 species
AUUGAACGCUGGCGGCAUGCCUUACACAUGCAAGUCGAACGGCAGCACGGGAGCAAUCCUGGUGGCGAGUGGCGAACGGGUGAGUAAUAUAUCGGAACGUGCCCGGUCGUGGGGGAUAACGUAGCGAAAGCUACGCUAAUACCGCAUACGAUCUACGGAUGAAAGCGGGGGAUCGCAAGACCUCGCGCGAUUGGAGCGGCCGAUAUCAGAUUAGGUAGUUGGUGAGGUAAAGGCUCACCAAGCCGACGAUCUGUAGCUGGUCUGAGAGGACGACCAGCCACACUGGGACUGAGACACGGCCCAGACUCCUACGGGAGGCAGCAGUGGGGAAUUUUGGACAAUGGACGCAAGUCUGAUCCAGCCAUUCCGCGUGCAGGAUGAAGGCCCUCGGGUUGUAAACUGCUUUUGUACGGAACGAAAAGGUUUGUCUUAAUACGAUGAGCUCAUGACGGUACCGUAAGAAUAAGCACCGGCUAACUACGUG